rnacentral:rRNA from 1 species
AUAUUGGGCAAUGGGCGAAAGCCUGACCCAGCCACGCCGCGUGAGUGAUGAAGGCCUUCGGGUCGUAAAGCUCUGUGGGGAGGGAAGAAACCUUCGAGGGAACAAUACCCCUCGGACUUGACGGUACCUCCUUAGCAAGCACCGGCUAACUCCGUGCCAGCAGCCGCGGUAAUACGGAGGGUGCAAACGUUGCUCGGAAUCAUUGGGCGUAAAGCGUGUGUAGGCGGCCUGUUAAGUCGGGUGUGAAAGCCCCGGGCUCAACCCGGGAAGUGCAUUCGAUACUGGCAGGCUUGAGUACGGGAGAGGGUCGCGGAAUUCCCGGUGUAGAGGUGAAAUUCGUAGAUAUCGGGAGGAACACCAGUGGCGAAGGCGGCGACCUGGACCGAUACUGACGCUGAGACACGAAAGCGUGGGGAGCAAAC